CGGACUCUCUGGUGAUCUUCCAGUCUGAGCUUCCAGAGCAGUUUGGGCUACAGUGUAUACCACUAUGUGCAGUGGGGAUUUGAGUUUUCCAUGAGAAAAUAUCACAUUCUCUCGGAAGGCAAAAUCCAACCCUCUUUUUCCUUCUACACUGGAAAUGUAAAGGUUGGAUUAUUCACUUUCCCAAGCUCCCUCAGCAUUAGAGUUAGGGUGGUCAUGUGACCCAGUUGUGGCCAAUGAGAUGAGAGAAGGCUCUAUGCAGGACUGGGCAAAGUUUUUGAGAAAAGGGUGUUUGAAGAGAUAGAUACUCACUGGAAGCCUCAUGCACUGCUGGGGGAAAAUGCAUCUUUUCAUCACAUGCUUCACUAAGCCACAGGAUCAGCUACAUCAUUUGUGCAAAAUGAAAAUGCAAGGUCUUCAGUUCAGAAGUUGCCAGCUACGUUUAGACAGAAGUGGCUGAACACAGACCUUCCUGAGAUGCUUUUGAGGCCAGGUCACAUACCUGUAAAGCCAGCCUUGCCAGCCAAAGGUAAGGCAUCCUAGGUAUAUCUCUCCCAUUCUUUGACUUCUUUCCCCACCCCACUCCCCACCGUUGCUAAGGAAAUAAACUCUGAAAUACACCAUUUUUUCAUAGCAAAACAAAACAAAACAAAACAAAACAAAAACAAAAAACAAAAACAAAAUAGCCCCCCCCGCAAAAGAACAAAAACAACAAAACCAAACCCAGAAAAGGUGCAGAAUUGUUUUCUGGUCUUUCUCUGCCUGCUGACUCUAGUGUGGAUUGCAAAGGGAUCAGGUCCUGAGAGCAGAGGCUCUCCCUCCGUGCACUGCCUUCAGGAGCAGCACUUUCUCAUCUCUGACACUGGAGAUCCUAAAGCCCAAGCCUUGGGGACCUCCAAUUGGGCUUUUCCAGGAGGCCGGGAGGCCACCGAACAGCAAAACUUCAAUGCUCUUUUUAAGUAAGAAUAGAAUAUGUUGGUGACAGAUAAACAUCAGAUACUAGAAGUCCAUAAGCUGGGUUAAAUGAAUCAUUAGAUGCUCUGUUAUUUGCUAAAAAUAAUUUAAAAAUGUGCAUUGAAUAGCAAGUGGCCAUGAAUAUUUAACCACAGCUGAUGCCUUUUUUUUUAUGUGCAGAGUAAUGCAGCUGUUAUAAUGUAC
rnacentral:lncRNA from 1 species